UACGUAGGGGGCGAGCGUUGUCCGGAUUUACUGGGCGUAAAGAGCGCGCAGGCGGUCGCUCAAGUCGCGUGUGAAAGCCCCCGGCUCAACUGGGGAGGGUCACGCGAUACUGAUCGACUGGAAGGCAGGAGAGGGUAGUGGAAUUCCAGGUGUAGUGGUGAAAUACGUAGAUAUCUGGAGGAACACCGGUGGCGAAGGCGGCUACCUGGCCCAACAUUGACGCUGAGCACCGAAAGCAUG
rnacentral:rRNA from 1 species